rnacentral:lncRNA from 1 species
CUCAGUCAGGAUCGACUUCCUACGAUGCUUGAGUCAGCACAUGCGCAGUAGUUCGCCGAAAGUAUCGCUGAUCGGAGACGGAGCGCCUCGGCAGAUGAACGAGCCGAUCGACUGCGCGAGACGCGACGAGGUAUGAUUCAUAACCAGUAAAGUCAUGGAUGAAACAUUGGAUUUUUGACAUUUCAUGCAACCCAAGCUCUUCAUAACUUUUUGAGAUGAAAUUUAUACUUCCAAUUUCUAUGGACUACAAAGGUAUUUUUCCUAUUUAAAAAUGUGAGCUGGCGGUUCAACAUCCGAACUCUUCCUUGCAUGGCUUAAAACCAUUGGUCUCGCAAAUCUACUAGUAAUACAGAGGCCUCAAGGCCAGAGAACGGGAUCAGAUAUGACGGAUGAGUUGAACAGGGCCUCAGCUGAACCGGAGAUGACGAAACCAGAAGAGACUGUGCCGAUUGAAGCAGACGACGUUACUGACGAUGUGGAUAAUGCAGUGGGGAACAACAUGCCUGGAAAGGUGACGCCCGAAUCGCCACCUGAUUGGCUGAAGCCAAUGGAGGGGGAUGAAGAUGAUGGUGGUGAGGGUGUCAAGAGCAGUGAACGGAUCAUUAUGAAGACCAAUGAUGACGUUCCAAAAGUAAAGCGACGCAGAGGUCGGCCUCCGAUUGCCAGAAAUGUUAGACAUGGACUUACUCGUUUAGAUUUCAAGAAAGGAUUGCAUGCAGAUCUCCCUAAAACUAAGACUGUUCGUUCUCUACCGGAAAGAACGCGUUCAAGUCCCACAUCAGGAACUGCCAUUCCUGUCCCAGAUCCACCCCGCACGCCUGAGGUUUUACCCAGAAAACCCCAGAGCAUCAUUCACAACUCGACAGCAACAUCUCAAAGACCCCGACUCAUGCCCGUCUCACCUGCAGGGGGCAGCAGCCUCUCCAAGACCCCCAACGCCGAAUUUCACAGCCCUCCGCGCCUCACAAGGGUCUCGCCGCUCAGUAUCGACACAUUGGUGACACGGAAUUUCGUUCACUCUCCAGCUGUAAAAGUGGGUAAUGUUUCCCAACAGAUUGUUUCCUCUACUGAACCUGGGAAAGAUGGCACUGAACCGCCCCUUCGACUCUGGCUUUGUCCUUCUCUGGAGCCCAUUAGCCCUACAAAAACGCAGGAUACGUUCUCAGAUCAGAUUGUAAAUUCACCAAAUUUUCCGGAGACUACACUUAAUGGAACAGUGACCCUAAAGGAAAGUCUUUCUCUGCUCAGUGAAUGUGAAAGCUGUGGCUGCCAAUUUCCUGCUCAGAAGAUCGGAGACAUAAUGUGCUACAGAUGUAGGCCUAAAUGUAUGUGAAUUUGUAAUUACACCCUUCAUUUCAGCCAGCAGCAGAGGAUAAGUAU